CAGCAUGCUGCCACCGAAUCUCCUGAUUGUGUCACUGGUCAUCCUCCUGGCGACCACAGUCUCUACGGCUCCCGUCGAGGAGAAGGAGCGAGAAGAAGCUGAACUAGAGGCUACAGAGGAGGUGGAGGGCGAGCUGUCUGAGGAGGAAGAGGAUGAUGAUGACUCCCAGAGUCAGCAUAAGAUUAAGGCAGGUAAUCUUGGCACUCAGCAGACCAUCACUUCCAUAGCGGCGGCCGGAGGUUCAGUUUCUGGUGGUCCAUCAGCAGGAAUGGGACCAAACGACGGAGCGGCAGGAAGUUCUGCAGGUAAAACUGGACAAAAAUCACAAAACUGACAGGAGAAACUGAGGCUGAAAUUAGGAUUUUUUUUAUUUUUUUAUCUGUUUUUAAUGAAAGUUUGAAUGUUUUUGAUUCCACUAAAC
rnacentral:lncRNA from 1 species